GAGGGUGUAGCUCAGGGUAGAGUGUAUGCCUAACAUGUACAAGGUCCUGCGUUCAAUCCCCAGUACCUCCA
rnacentral:tRNA from 1 species